GCCAUGAUGGCUCAGUGGUUGAGCAUUGACCUAUGAACCAGAAGGUCAAGGUUCAAUUCUUGUUCAAGGCA
rfam:Myotis brandtii contig291098, whole genome shotgun sequence.